GCCUGCCCACCCUGGAAACGG
rnacentral:snRNA from 1 species